rnacentral:rRNA from 1 species
AUUGAACGCUGGCGGCAGGCUUAACACAUGCAAGUCGAGCGGUAACAGAGAGAAGCUUGCUUCUCUGCUGACGAGCGGCGGACGGGUGAGUAAUGCCUAGGAAUCUGCCUAGUAGUGGGGGAUAACUUGCCGAAAGGUAAGCUAAUACCGCAUACGUCCUACGGGAGAAAGGAGGGGACCUUCGGGCCUUUCGCUAUUAGAUGAGCCUAGGUCGGAUUAGUUAGUUGGUGAGGUAAUGGCUCACCAAGACCGCGAUCCGUAACUGGUCUGAGAGGAUGAUCAGUCACACUGGAACUGGGACACGGUCCAGACUCCUACGGGAGGCAGCAGUGGGGAAUAUUGGACAAUGGGGGGAACCCUGAUCCAGCCAUGCCGCGUGUGUGAAGAAGGUCUUAGGAUUGUAAAGCACUUUAAGUUGGGAGGAAGAGCAGUUAACUAAUAUUUGACUGUUUUGACGUUACCGACAGAAUAAGCACCGGCUAACUUCGUG